rnacentral:tRNA from 1 species
GCGCCCGUAGCUCAGUCGGACAGAGCAACGGAUUUCUAAUCCGUAGGUCGCAGGUUCGAAUCCUGCCGGGCGUG